rnacentral:rRNA from 1 species
UAGUCAUAUGCUUGUCUCAGAGAUUAAGCCAUGCAUGUCUAAGUAUAAGCAAUCUUAUACAGCGAAACUGCGAAUGGCUCAUUAAAUCAGUUAUAAUCUACUUGAUCGUAUCUUCUUACAUGGAUAACCGUAGUAAAUCUAGAGCUAAUACAUGCUAAAAAUCCUGGACGCGGCAACGCGGAAGGGACGAGUUUAUUAGAUUAAAAACCGACACCUCUCCGCGAGGGGAGGUAGCACAGGUGAUUCACAGUAACCGAUCGGAUCGUCGGCCCCGCCGACGACGAUGCAUACGAGUUUCUGCCCUAUCAACUUUAGAUGGUAGAGUAUCGGUCUACCAUGGUCGUAACGGGUGACGGGGGAUUAGGGUUCGAUUCCGGAGAGGGAGCCUGAGAAACGGCUACCACUUCCAAGGAAGGCAGCAGGCGCGCAAAUUACCCAAUCCCGACACGGGGAGGUAGUGACAAGAAAUACCAUUGUAAUGUCUCCUCGAGAGGCUUACGAUUGGAAUGAGUACAAUUUAAAUCCCUUAACGAGUAACGAUU